CCUACGGGGGGCUGCAGUGGGGAAUAUUGGACAAUGGGCGAAAGCCUGAUCCAGCCAUGCCGCGUGUGUGAAGAAGGCCUUCGGGUUGUAAAGCACUUUCAGUGGGGAAGAAAGCCUUGGGGCUAAUACCCUCGAGGAAGGACAUCACCCACAGAAGAAGCACCGGCUAACUCCGUGCCAGCAGCCGCGGUAAUACGGAGGGUGCGAGCGUUAAUCGGAAUUACUGGGCGUAAAGCGCGCGUAGGCGGUCUGAUAAGCCGGUUGUGAAAGCCCCGGGCUCAACCUGGGAACGGCAUCCGGAACUGUCAGGCUAGAGUGCAGGAGAGGAAGGUAGAAUUCCCGGUGUAGCGGUGAAAUGCGUAGAGAUCGGGAGGAAUCCCAGUGGCGAAGGCGGCCUUCUGGACUGACACUGACGCUGAGGUGCGAAAGCGUGGGUAGCAAACAGGAUUAGAUACCCCAGUAGUC
rnacentral:rRNA from 1 species